CCUCAUCAUUUUAUUUUAAUUCCAUGUGUGUUGUUCCAUCGUAUUACCGUGUAUGAUUAUAGCUAGGCCGUCAGAUCGUAGAUCUAACGGCCUAUGAUGCAUCUCGUAUGUGGUUGAGUGUUUGUUUCUUUUGUGUGGAAUACUGCGUGCCUGCUGAUUGAACCGUCAGAUCUUUGAUCUGACGGUCACUGUGCUUCCAGUAUAUCCUUCCUUUUUUCUGUUUAUUUUUUAAAACCGUUGGAUCUUAGAUCCUAUGGCUGUGAUGAGAUCUUGGGAUACAGA
rnacentral:lncRNA from 1 species